AGGACGAACGCUGGCGGCGUGCUUAACACAUGCAAGUCGAGGGAGUCCAGACCUUCGGGUCUGAGGCGACCGGCGGACGGGUGAGUAACACGUAAGUGAUCUAUCCUCAUGCGGGGGACAACCCGGGGAAACCCGAGCUAAUACCGCAUGGUCGGACUGGCUGCAUGGCCGGACCGGGAAAGGUGGCCUCUUCUUGAAAGCUACCGCGUGGGGAGAGCUUGCGGGCUAUCAGCUAGUUGGUGCGGUAACGGCGCACCAAGGCUACGACGGCUAGGGGGUCUGAGAGGACGACCCCCCACAUUGGGACUGAGACACGGCCCAGACUCCUACGGGAGGCAGCAGUGGGGAAUAUUGGGCAAUGGCCGAAAGGCUGACCCAGCGACGCCGCGUGUGGAGGAAGCCCGUUCGGGGUGUAAACCGACGUGGUCGGGGGACGGAAAGCGUGGACGGAAAAUACCCGCCGCAGUGACGGUACCCCUAGAGGAAGCGACCGGCUAACUCUAGUGCCAGCAGCCGCGGU
rnacentral:rRNA from 1 species